rnacentral:misc_RNA from 1 species
CGAUUUUGUACGGCCGACUACUGGCGCCUUGUCCUGGCUGUUUUGUGGCUUCUGUUACUGUUACGUUUCAAGUGUGUGCAUGCUUGUACCUGAAUCACGGGUAGUGGUGCUUUAAAUUCGGUUGCCGCGCGGUGGACGCCUUUGGGUGUGCUGCUGCGGCCAAAUUGCGAUUGCGGCGUUUCCUUGUUUUUCCGGCAUGUUAACUCUGCCUGUGCUAACAAGCCAACCUCGCUUCGCUGUUGGUCUCGGAUGUUGCCUACGUUAAGAUCUCUUGGCCCAUUUCGGUUGCCUUGACUCACCCUAGGAAGCUCUCCGAAUUGAGAACAACCGGAACAGGUGUUGCCUCUACCUCUCCACGGUUAGUGGUAGGAUUACGCAACAUUCUGCGCCGAUCCUCAAACAAGUAGGAACGAGCUUAGCCCUCUA